rnacentral:lncRNA from 1 species
GUGAAAAGAACAAAGUUUUGUCCAUCUUUGUUCAUCAUAGCCUAAAGUUAGAGAAGAGAAAGGAGAGGAGAAAGCUCUUGAAUGUUCGGUCACUUGGGGAAGAAAAUUGAAGGUAAGUUCAUGGUAGUUUGCUUCUAUCUUGAUGUUCAUGAGUUCUUCUUGAUUCUACCUUAACUCUUGAAGCAUAUUUUGGUUUUUAGUUGUGUUGUGAGCAUUUAGUCAUGAAUUAAAAUGAAGGAAAUGGUUGUUGUUUCAUGUUCUUUUGAUGAAAAAUGGAAGAUAGGUGAAGUUAAGCCAAACAAAUGAGCAUGCAUGUGCCUUAGAUGGUAAGGGGAAAAAUCUGCUAACAUGUUGUGAUUUAAAAUGAUGAAAUGGAGAUUAUACUUAAGUAAAAUCAUAGAUAUGUGAUGAUUGAUUGGUGAUAUACAUGUUUAAAUAACAAGCAUGCAAGUUAGGUGUGAAAGAGUGAUUUGGUAAUAAAUCUGCUUGGGACAGCAGCAGUAACGUGACUUUGGAAAAUCACCAUAAAUUGUGGGAGAUGAGUUAGAAGCUGCAUAAAUUAUGUAAUUAAAGAUUAAUGAGUCUAGUUUCAAAUGGAAUAAACGAGAACAUAUUUUUAAUUCUGUACAAUGAUAAAUUUGAUUCGUAAUGAAGAGUGGUCAGAUUAGUCAAACAGUGAAACAUGGGAAACUUUAAGAAAAAUCUGGUAUUGAUUGGCUAAACCAAAAAUUCUGAAAAUUUUAUGGAUAAAAGAUAUAUGAGUCUAUUUUCAGGUAAAAUUAACGGCACUUGAUUUGGAGUUUCGUAGCUCCAGUUAUAAAUGAUUUAGUGACCGUUGUUCAGGAAGACAGCUUGCAGUGAGAUUAUGAUUAUGUGGUAAACAUUGACAAAAAUUUGUUAAUGAGUUGCUUAUUGAUUUCUUAUAAACUUACUAUGAUCUGUAGGUGUGGUUAGCCGAAUAUUGUAAGGGGUUAAUACGUAGUUCGUAUUUGAAUAGUUAGAUUAAUGUGUUAGUAAUCCAAUUGUAGGCAGUUCGUGUGUGGAUCUCGUCAGCAUAUCGUCGCAAACAGGUGUGUAACUAACACCCUCUUUCUUAGUCUGGAUCGGCAAAAGUCGAAAAGCCGAAAUGCUAAAAACUGGUAUUUUGUAGAUUUGCGAGUGUGCGAAUGCUCGUGAGGUAAAUUGAUUAAUGUUUUUGGUAAGCUGCAAAAUUUGGACUGCAAAGUGCAUGAUUUCUGUGCCCUCGAUAUUUUUGGGCUUAAUGGGCCAAAAUGAGAAUGAUGGGCCAACGGACCCAAUUCGGUAAGAACCCUCGGUACGUGAUUCUGUUAGUACGUGAAAAGUAGGAAUAUGCAUGAAAAACCCUAAAAUAGAUAAAUUACUGAAAUACCUUUAAAAGUGGAAAAUUUACAGUUUUACCCCUAGUAGAUAAAUUACCGAAAUACCCCUAGGGUUAAAUUGACCUAAAUGCAUGUUUGACUGUUGUUAUUUACUGCAUGCCAUGUUGUUAUUAUCUGAUGCAUGGGAUUGGGAUAUUGACGGAGGAAGUACUAAAAGUGGCUUGUCCACGUACUGGAGGCUUUGCCUCAAUUUACUGUUAACUGAGCAGCAAGGCUGCAACUGUGGAGUGUUGGGUUGGGUGGGUUGAGCUAUUCCCCACAUGGAGUGCAGGGCUGGUACGGGUGGAGUGUAGUGGCUGGUGGGUUGAGUAGUCUCCCCAAAUGGGCUUGCAUAUGUUAUUGAUGUUGCAUGUAUUUUGAAAUGGGCCUAUGGGCCAUACUGUUAUCUGAAUAAGGGGCUAAGGCCCAGUUUAUUGUAAUCUGAAAAGGGCUUUGGUCUAGUACCACUGUUACCUGAAUGGGCUUAGGCCCAAUAGGCUUGAGCUGACUUGGCUUUGAAUGGGUUUUCCUUACACACUGAGUUUCUCCAAACUCACCCCUUUUAUUUUCAUCCAUGCAGGAAAUCCCCAACCAUAGUGGGCUUGGAGCUGUGAGGGAAUUCGGAGUGGCCACCCGUUCUGAAAGUUUGAUUUUCUUCUGGUGAACUGGACAUCAUUUUAUUUACGUUUGAAGUUUUGGGUUUUUAAAUGUAAUAAGGCCACUUAAUUAUUUCUGAUGGUUUUAAUAUGUAUUACUAAGAUAGGUAUUACUUAUUUUAACUGUUGAAAUUGGAUAGCUUUAGGGCGCAUUUUCAAAAACAACAAUUGAUUUCAAAAUAACACGACAACAAGCAAAACUUCCGCAAUGAAAGUAUUUUCCAAAAUUAAUCACUUUUCCUAAAAAUGACUUAAUCAAAUCAGUUUCCUAGAAAUAUCCAUGACGUUAUGGUGUGGCAAUGGCGGUAUGCAUGUCUAGGAUUGGAUCCGAAGGGAGCUUGGUACUUAAGCAGUCCGAUGGACUUACCACCUCUUUUCCGGUUUCCUACCUGGUGCACAGCUUCCAUUCACUUUAACUUAUAAUGAAAUUAUCUUUUAAAACACUAAGUAAGUUUUUCUGGAUCAACAAUAUAAAAUGUUUUGGACGCUUCGAUAUGGCAUGUCAAAUCCGGUCAUAACGUCUGGGCCGGGUUUGGGGUGAUACAUUUAGUGGUAUCAGAGCCUAGGUUGCAACAACUCGGCUGUAGAAUGGGUUUACAAAAACAAAGAUUUUCAAAAACAAAAAUUUUAUAAAGAUUGCGAAAAACUCGAUUUUCAAAAUUUAGAUCUUUUGAAGGUGGCGCCCGAAUCUUCGGCUCAAGUCUGUAAGUAUUCUGAAUUUUUCUAAAUAUUUUCUGAAUUAUCUAUCUGUACUAAAAUCCUGCUAGGAUACUCUAGAUAGGAUGAUACUGAAACAUAGAAAAAUUUGAUAAGAGACUGAAACUAUAGCUAGACUUCGAUUCUGCGAAAACAAACUCUGAAUUACUGUCUGAUUCAUAAAACAUCCAUAAUAAACACUGGAAUAUUGAAUUAAUACAUAAAAAUUCAUAAUCGGAUAAUACGAUAUGAGUACAAGAGUCACUCGUGGAAGAGGCCGUGGACGGGGCCGAGGAAAUGCUCGAGCGAGAUCUUUAUUUUUGGGACAUAUGCCGGCGGUGGAUGGACCGAUACCACCGGCAACAGAGGUAGAGUCUCAUGACCGCGGUGUCGAGGAUGAUGCCCUGUCACAGGCAAUACUUCGUGUUCUGGAAAGGGUUGCCAGGGUAAGUACGGGCAAUGGAGUUCGGGGAUCUAUUUCUGAACGACUUCGGGCUAACGGAGCGGAGAUCUUUAGGGGCGUGUCUGGUAUAGCCCCGAAUGUGGCGGAAUAUUGGUUGGAGGCCACAGAACGGAUUAUGGACAACUUGGACUGCUUUGAGGAGAUUGUGAGUGGGGUAUCUGUACUAAGUCCUUUGGGUCACUCGGUUAGGGUAGACAAACUGUAUAGGGAUGUACCCUUAGAAACUCAAGGUAGGAUUUUCCCUGGAGAUCUGAUGGAGUUACCAUUCGGAGAGUUUGAUCUCAUUUUGGGAAUGGACUAGCUUGUUAAGCAUAAGGCGUUCCUGGAUUGUGCUGCUAAACGAAUGGUGUUAAGGACCACAAAGGAUGAUGAGGUUAUGGUGAUAGGUGAGCGAAGGGAUUAUUUGUCCAAUAUGGUGUCGGCAUUAAGAGCCGAGAAGUGGAUUUGGAAAGGUUGUGAGGCUUAUUUGGCAUUUGUAAGUUAGUCGGAAGAGGAGGGAUUGACAGUGGAUAAGGUUAGGAUCGUAAAAGAGUUCUAAGAUGUUUUUCUGGAAGAGCUUCCAGGAUUGCCUCCGAACCGAGAAGUUGAGUUUGGAAUAGAUUUGUUGCCAGGAACGGCGCCUGUGUCCAUCGCACCGUAUAGGAUGGCACUGAAGGAGUUAGUGGAGUUAAAGGCUCAAAUUCAAGAGUUGUUGGAUAGGGGCUUCAUUAGGCUAAGUGUGUCUCCAUGGGGAGCACCGGUGCUAUUCGUGAAAAAGAAGGAUGGUACGAUGCGGAUGUACAUUGAUUAUCGCCAGUUGAACAAACUUGCGAUUAAAAAUAAGUAUCCACUGCCAAGGAUUGACGAUCUGUUUGACCAGCUUAGAGGGGCUUCUGUAUUUUCUAAGAUCGACCUCUAUUUGGAUAUCAUCAGUUAAGGGUCAAGGAGGCGAAUAUCCAUAAGACGACAUUUAGGACUCGGUAUGGUCAUUACGAGUUUUUGGUUAUGCCAUUUGGACUGACGAAUGCUCCUGCAACAUUUAUGGAUCUGAUGAAUCGGGUAUUCCAACCAUUAUUGGAUCGAUUCGUAGUCGUCUUUAUUGACGAUAUCCUGGUAUAUUCUGAAAAUGAAGCGAAACAUGAUGAGCAUCUCUGUAUAGUGCUGCAAGUGUUAAGGAAGAAGAAACUCUUUGCGAAGUUCAGCAAGUGUGAAUUUUGGUUGAGGGAGGUAACCUUCUUAGGACAUGUGGUCUCUGCCGAAGGGAUUAAGAUAGACCCUCGAAAGAUUGAAGCAAUUUUGGAGUGGAAGCCACUUAGGACGGUGUCGGAAAUUCGAAGUUUCCUAGGGUUGGCAAGAUACCACAGAAGGUUUGUGGAAGGUUUUUUUGUUAUGGCAGCACCCCUGACAAAACUAAUAAGGAAAGGAGAACCGUUUGUAUGGACUGAGAAGCAGCAGGAAGCUUUUGAGAAGUUGAAGAAAGUUCUGACUGAAGCACCUGUGUUGAUUCAACCGGAGUCUGGGAAGGAUUUUACUGUGUACAGUGACGCAUCACAUGUGGGUUUGGGCUCUGUGUUAAUGCAGGAGGGUAAGGUGGUUGCAUAUGCAUCACGAUAGCUUAAACCGCACGAAGGGAACUAUCUUACUCAUGAUUUGGAGUUGGCGGCAAUGAUAUUUGCACUUAAGAUUUGGAGACAUUACUUGUACGGGGAGAGGUGUAUUAUAUACACAGACCACAAGGGUCUUAAGUAUUUGUUGACUCAGAAGGAGCUGAACCUUAGGCAAAGGAGAUGGAUUGAGUUGCUUAAGGAUUAUGACUAAUCGAUCGAGUAUCACCAGGCAAGGCUAAUGUGGUAGUCGAUGCUCUAAGUUGUAGAACUGUAUCUGAUCUGAGAAUAAUGUUUGCUCGUCUGAGUCUGUAUGAUGAUAGAAGUCUGUUGGCUGAGUUGCAAGUGAGGCCAACCUGGGUGGAUCAGAUUAAGGAAAAGCAGUUGAACGAUGAGUCUUUGGUCGCUCAUUUUCAACAAGUUAAGGAAGGGAAAACUUUUGAGUUUGGGUUAAAUGGCGAAGGAGUUCUGUGUUUCCGAGGAAGAAUUUGUGUUUCGAAGGACUCUGAUUUGAGGCAGACAAUAUUGAAAGAAGCUCAUGGAGGACUUUGUGCCAUGCACCUUGGAGGGAACAAGUUGUAUCACGACUUACGAGAAUUGUACUGGUGGCUUGGACUUAAACGAGAAGUAACGGAGUUUGUAGGGAAAUGUCUGACAUGCCAGCAAGUGAAAGCUGAGCAUCAAUUACCCUCUGGAUUGUUACAGUCAGUGAAGAUACCACUUUGGAAGUGGGAGAGGGUAGCCAUGGACUUUGUGAGUGGACUGUCUUUGACACCAUCAAAGAAAAACUCGGUGUAGGUGAUUGUGGAUAGGUUGACCAAAUCAGCCCAUUUCAUACCUGUACGUACUGACUUUUCACUUCAAAAGUUAGCCAAGCUGUAUGUGGCGGAGAUUGUACGACUUCAUGGAGUCCCAGUUUCGAUUGUCUCUAACCGGGAUCCCAGAUUCACAUCUCGGUUUUGGCAAAAGUUGCAUGAGGCGUUGGGGACGCGAUUGAACUUUAGUACGGCUUUCCAUCCCUAAACUGAUGGUCAGUCAGAGAGGGUUAUUCAGAUUCUGGAGGACAUGUUGAGGGGAUGCGUGAUUGACUUUCGAGGUAGUUGGGAGGAUUACUUGCCGUUGGCAGAAUUUACGUACAAUAACAGUUACCAGGUGAGUAUUCGAAUGGCACCGUAUGAAGCACUGUAUGGACGAAUGUGUCGUACACCUAGUUGUUGGACUGAACUAGGAGAGCGAAAAAUUCUUGGACCAUAGUUGGUAGCUGAUACUGAGGAUAAGGUCAGAAUAAUUAGGGACCGAUUAAAAGAAGCAUUUGAUAGGCAAAAGUCGUAUGCAGAUUUGAAGCGUAAGGAGAUUGAGUACUUAGUAAGUGAUAUGGUCUUCUUAAAGGUUUCUCCUUGGAAGAAGAUGUUAAGGUUCGGUAAGAAGGGCAAGUUGAGUCCGCGGUUCAUUGGGCCUUAUCGGGUUUUGAAGCGAGUAGGCCCAGUAGCUUAUCAGUUGGAAUUGCCUCUAGAGUUAGACAGGAUUCACGAUGUUUUUCACGUCUCCAUGUUAAGGCGUUAUUGUGCUGACCCUGCUCAUGUCCUGCCAGUUGCAGAAAUUGAAGUUCAGACUGAUUUGACCUUUGAGGAGGAGCUUAUGCAAAUAUUGGCUCGAGAUGUUAAGGUUCUCAGAAGGAAAUCUGUCCCGUUAGUGAAAGUACUUUGGCGUAAUCAUGGAAGGGAAGAAGCUACUUGGGAAUCAGAAGAGACUAUGCGUCAACAAUACCCUCAACUAGUUGGAUCAGGUAAAUUUCGAGGACGAAAUUUCUUUAAGGAGGGUAGAGUUGUAACGCCCCAACUUUCGGGAAUUCUGUGAAUGUUGGCAUAGGUUUAAUUAUGUUAGUGGGCCUUUAGAAGGCCCAAGCUUAAGAUAGAACCCGGCAAUUUUAGUUAAUUUUUGUUCCAUAAGAAAAAAGGGGUGAAAUUAUGAAAUAGGACCUAUGCGAAAAUGUUUGAAAAUGCUAUAGGCUAAAUUGAAGUGGCCAAAUAAAUAGGAGUGCAAAAUAGGAGGAUUUGCACGACAAACCUCCCAUUUUACAUGAAGUGGCCAGCCAUCAUGUUGUUGUAGACAAAAUGUGCACUUGAUAUCCAUAAUUUAUGGUACAAAUUGAUACAAAUUGAUAAUGGGUUAGGUAAAUGUUCCAUGAUAAUGGGUUAGGUAAAUGUUUCAUGAUAAUGGGUUAGGUAAAUGUUCCAUGAUAAUGGGUUAGGUAAAUGUUCCAUGAUGGGAAUUUCAUGUCUUUUGUAUUAAAGAAUUAAAUGGAUGAAAUAUGAAAUUUUAUUAAAACAAAAAGGGGUGAAAAGAACAAAGUUUUGUCCAUCUUUGUUCAUCAUAGCCUAAAGUUAGAGAAGAGAAAGGAGAGGAGAAAGCUCUUGAAUGUUCGGUCACUUGGGGAAGAAAAUUGAAGGUAAGUUCAUGGUAGUUUGCUUCUAUCUUGAUGUUCAUGAGUUCUUCUUGAUUCUACCUUAACUCUUGAAGCAUAUUUUGGUUUUUAGUUGUGUUGUGAGCAUUUAGUCAUGAAUUAAAAUGAAGGAAAUGGUUGUUGUUUCAUGUUCUUUUGAUGAAAAAUGGAAGAUAGGUGAAGUUAAGCCAAACAAAUGAGCAUGCAUGUGCCUUAGAUGCUAAGGGGAAAACUCUGCUAACAUGUUGUGAUUUAAAAUGAUGAAAUGGAGAUUAUACUUAAGUAAAAUCAUAGAUAUGUGAUGAUUGAUUGGUGAUAUACAUGUUUAAAUAACAAGCAUGCAAGUUAGGUGUGAAAGAGUGAUUUGGUAAUAAAUCUGCUUGGGACAGCAGCAGUAACGUGACUUUGGAAAAUCACCAUAAAUUGUGGGAGAUGAGUUAGAAGCUGCAUAAAUUAUGUAAUUAAAGAUUAAUGAGUCUAGUUUCAAAUGGAAUAAACAAGAACAUAUUUUUAAUUCUAUACAAUGAUAAAUUUGAUUCGUAAUGAAGAGUGGUCAGAUUAGUCAAACAGUGAAACAUGUGAAACUUUAAGAAAAAUCUGGUAUUGAUUGGCUAAACCAAAAAUUCUGAAAAUUUUAUGGAUAAAAGAUAUAUGAGUCUAUUUUCAGGUAAAAUUAACGGCACUUGAUUUGGAGUUUCGUAGCUCCAGUUAUAAAUGAUUUAGUGACUGUUGUUCAGGAAGACAGCUUGCAGUGAGAUUAUGAUUAUGUGGUAAACAUUGACAAAAAUUUGUUAAUGAGUUGCUUAUUGAUUUCUUAUAAACUUACUAUGAUCUGUAGGUGUGGUUGGCCGAAUAUUUUAAGGGGUUAAUACGUAGUUCGUAUUUGAAUAGUUAGAUUAAUGUGUUAGUAAUCCAAUUGUAGGCAGUUCGUGUGUGGAUCUCGUCAGCAUAUCGUCGCAAACAGGUGUGUAACUAACACCCUCUUUCUUAGUCUGGAUCGGCAAAAGUCGAAAAGCCGAAAUGCUAAAAACUGGUAUUUUGUAGAUUUGCGAGUGUGCGAAUGCUCGUGAGGUAAAUUGAUUAAUGUUUUUGGUAAGCUGCAAAAUUUGGACUGCAAAGUGCAUGAUUUCUAUGCCCUCGAUAUUUUUGGGCUUAAUGGGCCAAAAUGAGAAUGAUGGGCCAACGGACCUAAUUCGGUAAGAACCCUCGGUACGUGAUUCUGUUAGUACGUGAAAAGUAGGAAUAUGCAUGAAAAACCCUAAAAUAGAUAAAUUACUGAAAUACCUUUAAAAGUGGAAAAUUUACAGUUUUACCCAUAGUAGAUAAAUUACCGAAAUACCCCUAGUGUUAAAUUGACCUAAAUGCAUGUUUGACUGUUGUUAUUUACUGCAUGCCAUGUUGUUAUUAUCUGAUGCAUGGGAUUGGGAUAUUGACGGAGGAAGUACUGAAAGUGGCUUGUCCACGUACUGGAGGCUUUGCCUCAAUUUACUAUUAACUGAGCAGCAAGGAUGCAACUGUGGAGUGUUGGGUUGGGUGGGUUGAGCUAUUCCCCAUAUGGAGUGCAAGGCUGGUACGGGUGGAGUGUAGUGGUUGGUGGGUUGAGUAGUCUCCCAAAAUGGGCUUGCAUAUGUUAUUGAUGUUGCAUGUAUUUUGAAAUGGGCCUAUGGGCCAUACUGUUAUCUGAAUAAGGGGCUAAGGCCCAGUUUAUUGUAAUCUGAAAAGGGCUUUGGUCAAGUACCACUGUUACCUGAAUGGGUUUAGGCCCAAUAGGCUUGAGCUGACUUGGGCUUUGAAUGGGUUUUCCUUACACACUGAGUUUCCCGAAAUUCACCCAUUUUAUUUUCAUCCACGCAGGAAAUCCCCAACCAUAGUAGGCUUGGAGCUGUGAGGAAAUUCGGAGUGGCCACCCGUUCUGAAAGUUUGAUUUUCUUCUGGUGAACUGGACAUCCUUUUAUUUACGUUUGAAGUUUUGGGUUUUUAAAUGUAAUAAGGCCGCUUAAUUAUUUUUGAUGGUUUUAAUAUGUAUUACUAAGAUAGGUAUUACUUAUUUUAACUGUUGAAAUUGGAUAGCUUUAGGGCGCGUUUUCAAAAACAACAAUUGAUUUCAAAAUAACAUGACAACAAGCAAAGCUUC